GUGUUCAAUAUGAACGCUCAGUGUUCAAUAUGAUGGUGCUGGAGGAGUGUUUUCCGAGGCGGACAUGUUGAGGUCGACUGGUGAAGAAGCUCAGUAUCCAGUUACACAGUGCAGAAGGCAGGCCCAGGUGAUUAAGAAUUUUGUGCAGGGCAAAAAAAAAGCAUCCUUCAGGAUUAUCGUCGCAAACCAGAAGAAAUUAGGCAUUAGAGUCAGCCGAGAGCACAGGAGAAGGGACUCAUCUGUUUGAUGGGCCGAUGGAUAAAACAUCAUGGAAAGAAUGUGUAGGCGGAGUAAACAGGGAUCCUCCUCACAGUGUCGUACACGGUGGCAAACCUGUAUUUGUUUUCCCAGAGCUGGCAAAUCAUCUUAUACUGAUCUCCAGGGAAGAUAGUGGGGAUGAUGAUACCAUUUUCAUUCCGGAUGAAGAAGUCACCACAGGCUUUCUCAAAAGAAUCAACAACCUCCGUCAGGGUCAGUGAGGAGAAAGAGGAGAGCAGGAACACCAGAGGGAGAAGCUUCAUCCUGACACACGAUGGAGGAGUGUGUGAUGAGUGUGUGUGGAGUGUGUGAUGAGUGUGUGUGGAGUGUGUGAUGAGUGUGUGUGGAGUGUGUGAUGAGUGUGUGUGGAGUGUGUGAUGAGUGUGUGUGGAGUGUGUGAUGAGUGUGUGAUGAGUGUGUGUGGAGUGUGUGAUGAGUGUGUGAUGAGUGUGUGUGGAGUGU